rnacentral:rRNA from 1 species
UACGUAGGGGGCAAGCGUUGUCCGGAAUCAUUGGGCGUAAAGAGCGUGUAGGCGGUUCGGUAAGUCGGCUGUGAAAGUCCAGGGCUCAACCCUGGGAUGCCGGUCGAUACUGCCGGACUAGAGUUCGGAAGAGGCGAGUGGAAUUCCCGGUGUAGCGGUGAAAAUGCGCAGAUAUCGGGAGGAACACCUAUGGCGAAGGCAGCUCGCUGGGACGUUACUGACGCUGAGACGCGAAAGCGUGGGGAGCAAACAGG